rnacentral:tRNA from 1 species
AAAAUUUUAGUUUAUGUAAAACAUUUUAUUUACAAUAAAAAAAAUAUUAAAUUUUA